GUGGGGAAUCUUCCGCAAUGGACGAAAGUCUGACGGAGCAACGCCGCGUGAGUGAUGAAGGUCUUCGGAUUGUAAAGCUCUGUUAAUCGGGACGAAAGAGCCUAGUGUGAAUAAUGCUAGGAAGUGACGGUACCGGAAUAGAAAGCCACGGCUAACUACGUGCCAGCAGCCGCGGUAAUACGUAGGUGGCAAGCGUUGUCCGGAAUUAUUGGGCGUAAAGCGCGCGCAGGCGGAUCUGCCAGUCUGUCUUAAAAGUUCGGGGCUUAACCCCGUGAUGGGAUGGAAACUACAGAUCUAGAGUAUCGGAGAGGAAAGUGGAAUUCCUAGUGUAGCGGUGAAAUGCGUAGAUAUUAGGAAGAACACCAGUGGCGAAGGCGGCUUGCUGGACAUUAACUGACGCUGAGGCGCGAAAGCGUGGGGAGCAAACAGGAUUAGAAACCCCGGUAGUCC
rnacentral:rRNA from 1 species